UGUCUGAAGACAGCUACAGUGUGCUUAGAUAUAAUAAUAAAUAAAUCUUUUUUUAAAAAAAAGAGUGUUAUAAGAAACACAGUGAAAGAGGAAGGAAGAAAAAUCAGGCCAUUAAUCAUUUCCAACUUUCAGAAUUUUGGGUGGAAGAAAAGGUUUUUUACAUCUUUGCCAUUGGAAAGACAUUCCUGGUUUCUCUGGAGAUCUUUGUGCUGUGCUCCCAACACCUGCGGCGGCCUUGCUGGCUAUAAGAUAAGACCUCAGAACCAAAGAGAGAGCAUGACUCUUCUUAAAAUGAAGGAGUGUAUGCUCAAGAUGAAACUGAAGUCUACUUAGGUGUGAUGAACAUGUGUAUAAAGCAAAAAAAAAAAAAAAAAAAAAAAAAAAAAAAAAAAGAACUCCGGUACUUCUGGAGGGAAACUAAACAAAGUAAGAGUAAUGGCCAGGGGUGGAGGUUGGGGAAUCCAGGCCUGUGGUGGUUUGAGUGAGAAUGGCCAUAGUCACACAUUGAAUGGUUGGUUCCCAGUUGGUGACGUUUUUUAGGAAGGAUUAGGAGGUGUAGCCUUGUUGAAGGAGGUGUGUUACUCAAAGGUGACCUUUGAGGUUUCAAAAGCCCACACCAGGCCCAGUCUCUGUCUCUGCCUGCAACUUUCUGAUCAGAUGUAAGCUCUUAGGUAUUGCUCUGGUCCCAUACCUUCCUGUGUGCUACCAGACUCCCUGUCAUGAUAUUCAAGCACUAACCCUCUGAAACUGUAAGCAAGCUCUCUGUUAAAUGCUUUCUUUUAUAAGCUACUUCAGUCAUUGGCAUCCUUUCACUGCAAACAGAACAGUAACUAAGAUAGGGGCCCAUGGACUAAAUGUUUAAUUCCAAAGCAACCUGCCUGCAAAGGCCACUGGACACAGAAUCCGUGUGAUCUUAUACUGCUCAUGGGUUUAAACUCAUGAAAAUUGUUUUAUAAAAUAAUAUAUUUUAUAAAAUAAGAAAGAAAAGAAGUUUUGCAUGCACAAGAGCCCACUAGAGUGGCUCGUGGUUACAAAUACCCUAUACAAUAUGCCUUUUAAAACUCUGUACUAAAGUAUAGCAUGAAUGCAGAAAAGUAAAACAUACAUACAACCAUGGAACUCCUCAAAGUAAACGUACACAAAUAACCAGAACGCAGAGAAGGAAUCAGGACACUGUCGGGUCUCCUCUAGCCUGCUCCUGCCACACCACCACAGCCAAGGGGUCACUCUUCCGACUUUGUACAGCAUAGAUUCGCUUUACUAUGUUGUUGGUUUUACUUCGUAUAAACAGAACUCUACAGAAUGAGUUCUUUUAUGUCUUGCUUCUUUCACUAAGAAGUCUAUUUGUGAUAUCCGGCCAUAUUACUUAAAAUAGUAGGCCACUUAUUUUCUAUCUCAUAUUCUUUUGUACG
rnacentral:lncRNA from 1 species